GGUGCUGAUGUUGCAGGCGGAAGUCAUCUAUUGUAGAAGCUCGGAUGGAGACUUUUUGUUGGAGAAGUCUAGUAAGAGUCCGAUUACUAGAGGAGUCCAUCUGAAAUUUGCCUGAUGUAGAAGCUCAUCUGAGGACUAUCCACCGGAGAGGUCCGGUUUCAUGAGGAAUCCGGUAGAGGGUCAAUCGAUAGUGGAGUUCGGAAGGCGCUAUGGAGGUUCAUCCGCUGGAGGAGUCUCGAGGACAUUGGGGAAGGUCGAAUGUUGGAGGAGUCCGAGAUUCAAUUCUGUUGUAGAAGUUCGGACGGAGUCCGACUCUUGUAAGAGUCUGAAAGAAGGUCGCUUAUUGUAGAAGCUCGGACGAAGACUGGUUGUCGUGGAAGCUCGG
rnacentral:lncRNA from 1 species